rnacentral:rRNA from 1 species
UGGGGAAUAUUGGACAAUGGGGGGAACCCUGAUCCAGCAAUGCCGCGUGUGUGAAGAAGGCCUGAGGGUUGUAAAGCACUUUCGGUGGGGAGGAGGUUAGAUUGGUUAAGAGCUGGUUUAAUGGACGUUACCCACAGAAGAAGCACCGGCUAACUCCGUGCCAGCAGCCGCGGUAAUACGGAGGGUGCGAGCGUUAAUCGGAAUUACUGGGCGUAAAGGGUGCGUAGGUUGUUGUAUAAGUUAGCUGUGAAAUUCCUGGGCUCAACCUGGGGUUGUCAGCUAAGACUGUAUGACUAGAGUAUAGUAGAGGGUAGUGGAAUUUCCGGUGUAGCGGUGAAAUGCGUAGAGAUCGGAAGGAACACCGGUGGCGAAGGCGGCUACCUGGACUGAUACUGACACUGAGGCACGAAAGCGUGGGGAGCAAACAGGAUUAGAUACCCGCGUAGUCC